rnacentral:rRNA from 1 species
GAUGAACGCUGGCGGCGUGCUUAACACAUGCAAGUCGAGAGGGGUAAGCCCUCGGCAAACGGGUGAGUAACACGUAGGAAUCUGCCUCUGUCUCGGUCAUAACCAACCGAAAGGUUGGAUAAUUACCGAUAGUCUCUAUCGCAAGAUAGAGUAAAGAUUUAUCGGACAGAGAGGAGCCUGCGGCCUAUCAGCUAGUUGGUGGGGUAAUUGCCUACCAAGGCUAUGACGGGUAGCUGGUCUGAGAGGACGAUCAGCCACAAGGGAACUGAGACACGGUCCCUACUCCUACGGGAGGCAG